ACGAACCGUGCGAACGUUGUUCGGAAUCACUGGGCUUAAAGGGCGCGUAGGCGGGCCACCGAGUCCGCGGUGAAAUCCCCCGGCUCAACCGGGGAACGGCCGUGGAUACUGGGGGCCUGGAGGCGGGUAGGGGCGGGCGGAACUCUGGGUGGAGCGGUGAAAUGCGUUGAUAUCCAGAGGAACUCCGGUGGCGAAGGCGGCCCGCUGGACCCGAUCUGACGCUGAGGCGCGAAAGCCAGGGGAGCGAACGGGA
rnacentral:rRNA from 1 species